rnacentral:rRNA from 1 species
CAGCAGCCGCGGUAAUACGUAGGUGGCGAGCGUUGUCCGGAAUUAUUGGGCGUAAAGGGAGCGCAGGCGGACAUAUAAGUCCAUCUUAAAAGUGCGGGGCUCAACCCCGUGAGGGGAUGGAAACUGCUGAUCUAGAGUAUCGGAGAGGAAAGUGGAAUUCCUAGUGUAGCGGUGAAAUGCGUAGAUAUUAGGAAGAACACCAGUAGCGAAGGCGGCUUUCUGGACUGUAACUGACGCUGAGGCUCGAAAGCCAGGGGAGCGAACGGGAUUAGAUACCCCCGUAGUCCCUGUCUCUUAUACA